UACAGAGGGGGCAAGCGUUGUUCGGAAUUACUGGGCGUAAAGGGCGCGUAGGCGGCCUGCUAAGUCGAACGUGAAAUCCCCGGGCUCAACCCGGGAACUGCGCCCGAGACUGCUUCUCUUGAGUCCCGGAGAGGAAGAUGGAAUUCCCGGUGUAGCGGUGAAAUGUGUAGAGAUCGGGAGGAACACCGGUGGCGAAGGCGGUCUUCUGGACGGUGACUGACGCUGAGGCGCGAAAGCGUGGGGAGCAAACGGG
rnacentral:rRNA from 1 species